rnacentral:rRNA from 1 species
UGGGGAAUAUUGCACAAUGGAGGGAACUCUGAUGCAGCGACGCCGCGUGAACGAAGAAGGCUUUCGAGUCGUAAAGUUCUUUUAUAUGGGAAGAUAAUGACGGUACCAUAAGAAAAAGCCCCGGCUAACUACGUGCCAGCAGCCGCGGUAAUACGUAGGGGGCUAGCGUUGUCCGGAAUCACUGGGCGUAAAGGGUUCGCAGGCGGAAAUGCAAGUCAGGUGUAAAAGGCAGUAGCUUAACUACUGUAAGCAUUUGAAACUGCAUAUCUUGAGAAGAGUAGAGGUAAGUGGAAUUUUUAGUGUAGCGGUGAAAUGCGUAGAUAUUAAAAAGAAUACCGGUGGCGAAGGCGACUUUCUGGGCUCAUUCUGACGCUGAGGAACGAAAGCGUGAGUAGCAAGCAGG